rnacentral:lncRNA from 1 species
CCACCGCAGGGAGACGCAUCCAGCUGUCCGGCCCCGCUUCCUCCCGCCUCGCAUCCAGGGCACCCGGCCGAGCGUGUGUGGAUGGCGCGGCGUGGAGGCUCAAACCUGAGCAAACAAAUAAGUUGAGGGAACGCCUCCCUCUCUCCGAUGUAAACUCGGGGCUCCAGACAUAACUAUUCCCCCUUCCCAGAAAAGCCCCGGGAAAGGCGGUAGGCAGAGGAGCACCAUAGGAGAGCGGGGGGCUACAGCCGGGGCUCAGGGCUCGGGGCUCGGGGGCCACGGUCCCACCCCCUCAUGCACGGUAGCCGGCUGGGGGAACGGCCCCGCCCCCUUCCCCGUGGAGGGCGGGGGCGCAUCUCUGGGCGCG